rnacentral:rRNA from 1 species
UACGUAGGGUGCGAGCGUUGUCCGGAUUUAUUGGGCGUAAAGAGCUCGUAGGCGGUCUGUCGCGUCGGCUGUGAAAACUCGGGGCUCAACCCCGAGCCUGCAGUCGAUACGGGCAGACUAGAGUGCUGUAGGGGAGAAUGGAAUUCCUGGUGUAGCGGUGGAAUGCGCAGAUAUCAGGAGGAACACCGAUGGCGAAGGCAGUUCUCUGGGCCGUAACUGACGCUGAGGAGCGAAAGCGUGGGGAGCGAACAGG